rnacentral:tRNA from 1 species
CACAAUUGCUACGAAGAGAGUAAAAUACCUAGGAAUCCAACUUACAAGGGUUGUGAAGGAUCUCUUCAAGGAAGUCACUUUCUGUAUUGUACUUCGCUUAAUACUUAAGCAUCCAGGAAAGUUUUGUUAGAUAUUGCAGUCAGGUCUAGGCUAAGUAUUUUAAAUUUUUUAUUUUUAUUUUAUUUGGUUAUAAGCGGUGUUCUGAUCAGUGACAGAAGUGACUUGGUUCCACCUUUAACAGAACGUUGGUGUAGAGCAAAUCAGCACAAUCUUCUCCUCUAUGAACAUGUGUGUUGACUCAUGCAUACUCAAGAAACCCUGUGAAGCAGCCUUGAAAAGAGAUUUUUCUGGCCAAGCUUGGUCCUAAAUGUGAGACAAUUGUGAAAAGUGGAGGACAGAGCCACCUGGUUAAAUACAGCCCCGGCUUUCUGGUGAGAGGAUUGAAACCAAGAUGUGUCAAGUAACUAGAAUGUGCCUGGACAGAUACUGUAGAAAGCAAACCCAUAAAGUUGUUCAUGAGCUUGUGGACACACCUGCCAGCUGUGAAUAAGUGGCUCUAAUCCCAAACAACUUACCUAAAAAGAGCCUGAGAGCUGAACUGUGCAAUGGCCCACUUUCCAGUCCUCACUGACCACUGGGUUGCACACACUUUGGAGAUCUCUGAACAGCAGUGUCAAGCCUUUCAAAUAGAGUUAUCUUCGAAACGACAACACAUGGAAGUCUGGUUGAUACUUGGAGCUUAAAUACAAGGCAAUUGUGUACCUGCAAAAACAAAAAUAGCAAUAUUAUCCUUAAGAUUUCAGCAAGACACAGUGUCUCAUCACAUAAUCCAAAGAAGUCCAGGUUACAAGCCCCAAAAUAUUCAGCAUUAUGAAAAAACAGGGAGAUCUUAAUUCACAUGGCAAAGAGAAUCCUCGAAUAACAAUAUUGAGAGGACACAGAUGUCAAAAUCAUCUGACACAUACUUUAAAGCAGAUAUUAUAACAAUGCUCCUAGAAUCGGGGAUAACAUUGGUGAAGUGAAUGGAAAGUUGGAAAGUCUAACCAAAUAUUUCGAAUAUAUAAACACCAAUUUAAACUUAAGAAUUAAAAAAAUGUAUUAACCAAAACUCUUAGGGGAAAUAAAAAGCUUAAUUGGAGGAUCUCCAUAAUAGAAUGCAGAAGACUAAGGAAAAAGUCAAUGAACUUGAAAACAGAACACGAAUACCUACAUAAUCUGAACUAUAGAGAGAAAGGAGGAUUUUAUUGUCUCUGAACAGAGGCUCAGGGACAAAUAAAAAAUAACAAAUCCAACAUUCACAUUAUUGUAAUCUGGAAAGAAGAGGACAAAGUGGUCUUUGUGGGAUAAAACUUUGAACAAUUAAUAGCUGAAAAUGGUUCAAAUUUGUCAAAAGAUAUAAACCAGAUUUUUAAAGUUCAGUAAAUGUCAAUCAGGAUAAACCCAAAGAAACCCAUAGCAAGGCAUAUCAUAAUCAAACUGCUGAAAACUAAGAAAAUACAAAACAAUUUUGAAAGCAGCCAAAGGGAAAUGAAAGAGAAACUACCAUAUGAAUGAUUGUAGAUUUCGCAUCAGGAACCAUAGGGGCCAGAAAAAAUGUCAUAACAUUCGGUAAGUAACAAAAGAAAAAGACAUAUCGACCCAGAAUGCUAUGUGGAGCAAAAGUAUCUUCCAGACAUAAAGGCAAAUAAAUGCAUUCUCAGUGGAAGGUAAGUAAAUACAUUCUCAUUCUUAGGAAGACUGCUGGAAAAGAAUUGGCAAAGAUUUGAGAUAAGAAAAAUGAUACCAGAAGGAAACUUAGAACAUCAUCAGUGAAGGAACAAAAGCAGAAAUAGAAAAUGUCUGGGUAGACAUAACAGACUAUUAUUCUUCCCUUGAGUUCCUUAAGGAGACUACGGAAAAGAAGAGUGACUAAGAUCUCUGAAGAAGGGAAAAGCUAGAUGACUGGGCCACAAGAGGAAAAAAAGCAGCAAGACAGAGAUUUGUUGGUGCCAACUAAAUGAGCCUAACAGCCAGUGACAACAGAACUGCACUAAAAAAAGUCCCUCAUCAGCUCUUGAGAGCAGGUUCCUUAAAGAGAAUGAGUAGCCACUGCUGUUUGCCCUGGCCCAUCAAUGAGAAGAUCUGCUCUUAGAGCCCUGCUUUCCUGCUGAAGGCCCCGAAAUCACCUGUGUUCCAGGCCACCCGCUAACAAUAAAUAAUGCUCCCCUGAUGUGGGGAAUUAGCUCAAGUGGUAGAGCGCUUGCUUAGCAUGCAAGAGGUAGUGGGAUCGAUGCCCACAUUCUCCAAGCUUUAUUAUUUAGACAUCGUGUCUCCAAACACUCAGGUCUCCAAACCCAAGUUAGUGUCUGAGAACAGGAUGCUGCUUUGGUUCAAGACGUAGGAGCAGCAAUAAUAGAGGGCUGGUGAUGGCUCCCUCUUGGCAUUCAGUAUAGUGUAGAUCUACCAUGUAAUUAAUUCUCUGUUUCUUUGAGGAGCUGUGAAACCAAGGGACAUAUACAACUGCUCUUUUCUCCCUGUUUCUACCUGCAGCUUUGUCCUAAAUGUGAGACAAUUAUGAAAAGUGCAGGGCAGAGCCACUUGGGUAAAUACAGCCCCGGCUUUCUGCUCAGGGGACAGAGUUUGAGGCACUGCAGAGGAACCAGCCAAAGUAUGAGACCCAUAUGUUGAGAGUGACAGUGUAAAGUUCAAAAAAAUCAAAAUGUUUAAAGAUUUAUCAUGGGUCUUGAUGACAUGAUGGAAUCUCUCUACUCUCUGGACUGAUUAUGUGUGGUAAUAAAUUUACUUUUUAAAAGCCA